AACCGGAUCGGCUCGGAUGAAUUUUGCAUUGUUGGACCUCCUGCCCGAUGAUAGCUGUGAUAGGCUCCAGCACUCCCGUGACCCUUGUGAGGAUAAGCGGCUCAGAAAAUGGAUGGAUGGAAACACACUACUCAGACAAGGUUAGGUAUAUUGUUGAUUUUAGGUGACAUUUCAGGAUGAACCAAAAAUCUACUAUAACCUUUACAGGCGAACUUAAUUUGACCUUCUCUAAACUUUUGAAUGCACAUGUCAAACAGUUUCUGUUUUCAAAAGUUUAGAGAAUGUGAAAUUUAGUUCAUCUGUAGUGGUGCUAAUGCAUUUUAGGUUGAUUCUGAAAUUUCACCCACAAACGCAAUUUCCCUAACUUUUUGUGAGUAGUGUAUCAGUCAUGUUAGGAGUAGCAUUUUUAUUAAUAAGGUAGCCCUGGGCUAUUAAUCGAUCAAUUUGCGUUGGAGUCAGGACUAUUUUUUAAAAAUUUAUUAUUAUUUGUUUUUAAACUGUUUCAAAGCUCCCCUCCUUGAGCAGCCACCUUAUCGUAGUGGAGGAGUUUGUGUGUCCCAAUGAUCCUAGGAGCUAAGUUGUCUGGGGCUUCACGCCCCUGGUAGGGUUAGCCAUGGCAUACAGGUCCUAGGUGAGGGACCAGACAAAGCACGCCUCCAAAAAACCCUAUGACGAAUAAAAUUAAUGGAUUUAGGUUUCCCUUGCCCGGACGCAGAUCAUCGGGGGCCCCCUCUGGAGCCAGGCCUGGAGGUGGGGCUCGAAGGUGAGCGCCUGGUGGCCGGGCCUGCACCCAUUGGGCCUGGCCGGGCACAGCCCCAAAGGGUAACGUGGGUCCCCCUUCCCAUGGGCUCACCACCUAUGGGAGGGGCCAUAGGGGUCGGGUGCAGUGCGAGCUGGGCGGUGGCCGAAGGCAAGGGGACCUUGACGAUCCGAUCCCCGGCUACACAAACUGGCUCUAUGGAUGUGGAAUGUCACCUCUCUGGCAGGGAAGGAGCCCGAGCUGCUGUGUGAGGUUAAGAAGUUCCAACUUGAUACUCGUUUCCGAUGAUGUGGUUCUGUUGGCUUCAUCAGUCCAUGAUCUCCAACUCUCACUAGAGCGGUUCGCAGUGUGAAGCGGCUGGGAUGAGAAUAAGCACCUCCAAAUCUGAGACCAUGGUCCUCGGUCAGAAAAGGGUAGCGUGCCCUCUCCAGGGUGUCCGGGCUCUCCCUUAGAAAUGGACUGAGGAAGCUGGUUCAUCCGGGAGGAGCUCAGAGUAGAGCUGCUGCUCAAGCAUCUGUUUAGGAUGCCUUCCUGGUGAGGGUUUCUGGGCAUAUCCCCCCGGGAGGACGCCCCAGGACACGCUGGAGAGAUUACAUCUCUCGGCUUGCCUGGGAACGCCUUGGGAUCCCCACGGAAGAGGUGGAGGAAGUGCCUGGGGAGAGGGAAGUCUGGGCUUCCCUGCUAAAGCUACUGCCCCCGCGACCCGACCUCGGAUAAGCGGAAGAAAAUGGAUGGAUGUUUCAAAGCUUGUUUGAUAUCAGCAGAAAUCUGUCAAAUACAUUAGAGAAGGGAAAAAAACAAAUAACUUUGUUUUUACAAAAUGUUAUUGUCAUUUAAUAUUUCUUUAAGAGAAAAUUUUAUUACAAUCUGAUUGGCGUGAAAAAUAUCUGAGCGCUUAUGUUAAGGCCAUAUUAUCCACGUCUACAACAAGGUGGUGCACUUCCAACAUAAAUCCAGCUUUUCACUGGCACUACCAAUUUCCUAACUGUGUACUUUCACGUCUUC